GCCUAUAGAAAAGAAGAAUCACUGUUAGACUCAUUUCAAUAUUUAUAUAUUAAGCAGAUAUUGCUAAUAAUCAGAAACAAAAACCAGCCAUGUGUAUAUGAAAUGUCCUAGAAAUAUGUUCUCAAUUUCUCAACAAACAAGUCAGGAGCUAUCGUAAAGCAACAUGCACAGAUGGCUAACCCAGAAAUUCAGCCAGCAACACUGCAUGCUAUCAGGCAAGGUAAUAUGGCAGUUCAUAUUCUGAGACUCUCUUUUUUCAGGACCAGUAAACAAUUUUCUGUAUGCAUCCCAUUUUUCCAUGAGAAUACUACAGAGGAAAAAAAAGCAGUUCAAUCCUCCCUGGGAUUCCUGUCUACUAAAACCAAUAAGCACUCAGCUAGACUUUACUUGCAAUGUAGAAAGAAACAGGAGAUAAAAUAUUUCUGGUAGGGGAGAGAAGGAAGGAGUACAGCAACACUUAUUAAGUGAAUUCAUCAAACAUUAAAAAAUGAAAACAACUACAAGAGAAACACCAGUGCAUGGAGAGAAGUGCUGCCUGUCAAGUGCAAGUUCAUCCUACAAACAUCAGACCCAGAUCUUAAGAAGAAAGACUCACAAUAUCAUCUCAAUAAUUUUGAAACAUAUGCAGGAGAUCAGCAUGAACUGAAAUAGUUUUUACUUUCCUAACUUACUGUUUCUAUAUAUAGGUACAUUGGAAUGCAUACAGGACAGAAGUCUUCACAAAUUCACUUUCAGCAAAUGGUGAAACUGAAAAGCUCCCAUUAAUUGAAUCACUUGUUCUUUUCUUUUUUAGCAAAACAAUCAUCUAAACUAAAACAGGACCUAGACCAGCAAAGUUACAUGCUCUGCCAUGCAAAAAAAAUUCUAUAUUCCCUGUACAGUGGGUGCCAACAUAAUAACCACUCGAUCCUGUUCUCGUAAGUUUCCAUUUUAGGACUUCAUAUCAUAUGUCGCAGGCCAUCCUUAGCUUGUUUAGCUCUAUAUACUGUCUUUUACUCACCUCAUACAAGGUUCCAACCCAGAUCACGAAUUUUGUAAGCUACCAAAAUACAAACAUUUAAUAGUAGCAGCUGCUAAGGUAGAAUAAAAUCAAGCCUAAAGUUAAAUUGAGUAAAAGAGAUAGGGAUAUGAAGCCUUCCAGAUAAUCUGCAUCAGACAGAGCCUUAGCUUAUGCCUCAGGCAGCUCAGGCUAACAUCACCACAUCACUCAACCAUAGCAAAGCUGUUCUGACUCCACAUCACAAGGUGCUGCACCAGAAACAAAUAUCACAUGAACAUUUCUAUUUAUCUAUUGACAGGUGUGGUCACUUGAAGCAAUGAGACUGGCAGAAGUGUCUAUUUCACUUUAAUUUCCGGGAUUAAUUGUGGAUUUCCACAAGCAACAUUGUAUGCUUCACAAGGCACACCAAAAAGUCAUGGCUACAAACAAUUGGAAGUGUUAAAAGAGAACCGCCUCUGCUAACUUGCCUAGUGAGGUACAGAGUCACGCUGAGUGUUACAUCAGCUUUCUGACAAAUAGAUCAACACAGUGACUCCUAUGAACAUGCAAGUCAACACAGGAAGAAAAACAGAAAUAAUUUACUCACCGUAAGGCCUGUACAAGAUUGAGAUCAGCAAACUCAUGGAGUUCAACAAAAGCCUGAAGAACUUUAAUAUUAAAUUCAUCUCUGUGAAAGAGAAAAAUGGAAAUAAACAAUUACAAUGUUGAACUUCAAAGCCUUCUUAGUUACCUCUAUCUUUUUCUUAUAGAAUAAGCAAACAAACAAAUGAUUAGACUGAUCAAAUCAAACCACCAGGAAUUGUUAUCAUGUUCCAUUUUAAUUGCUAGUGUUUUGCCCGUUUCUGCUAGCAUUAAAAAGCUAAGCCAUCAAGAGCCAGGACACUUGAAUAGAUUUUAUCACUGCUGUUUUAAAUGCCCUGAAAGUGGCCUGUCUUUCCUUGCUUCAUGUUUGUCAUUAUUGCACCUACCUUCAGAGGGGAAAAUAUCUGAUAAAUGUAUCUAGUACAAUCAUCUUUUGCAGCAAUUGUGUCGUGAUCACUUAAAACAACAGUUAAGGUAGGAUUAAUUUCCUUAGCCAUACAACAUAGGACAAGUAGGCUAUCCUUCAGCUGCUUAUAAGAACAGCUUUUUCAAAUAAGUACUUACUAUGUACCACGUUCUUACUCCAUUCUCAAAAAUUGUUACAAUGGAAGUUUACUAAAAGCUUUUGACUUGGUUUGCUCUCAGCUAUCUUUGACACCAUUAUGCAAAACCUGAGCCCAAGUAUGCUUUAAUACAAGGUUAUCUGAAUGCAAAAGUUAUAUUUAAAGGCUGAUGAACACAAAAUGAUUUGAAUGCAGAUAGAAUUUAGUCUACACCACCACUACAUUCAUAUGCCAGAAGCAGAAAGGUUUGUAAUCCUCAGGGUGUGCUUUAAAUACAUAACCGAGGCAGAAUGUUGCAUAUCAGCCUCCACCCAAAAAUAGAAAGGUGUGCAUUCACCAAGAAUUAUCUGUUGCGUUACUGACUAAAUGCUUGUAGCUAAUCUGUAGCUCACAAGCAAAUACUUGAAAGCAAACCAUUCCAUUACGAUGUUUCCAGACUGUUCACAGAACCACAAGCAAAAAGAAGCAAUUCUCAUCAAAUUCAAUAAUAUACAAUUGAGCUGCAUACUACUUUGCAAAGCACUGAACUCGUAUAAAGUACAACAGCACAGAGCACUUAAUAGGGCUGCUUUGUUAUUUUAAGCCAAAGAUGUACCUUGGCUAAGCAAUUUCACAAUUCUCCUCAGAUUUUAGCACCAACUUAACAGAUUAAAAAAAAAAAAAAACAAUUAAAUUUUUGCUAUUCAGCACAAAUCACUACAAUUUCUCAUAUUUAAAUAAUGGAAAAUCCAGAAGGUGGAUACUGAAAUAAUAAUACAUCUUUGAAUUCUAUAUGUGAGCAGCAACGUGACCAUUCUACAGCAUGCCAGUGGGACUGGUCAUAUUGGUGAGAUCUUUCUGCAUGAGCACACAGAUUCCAGGCUUGGGAGUAGAAUACUGGGAGUAUUUCAGGAGGUAGAACAUAACUCUGAAAAAUGCAUACAGACUGCUUUAUGCAAGCUUUGUUACAAUUUGGUAGAUAUUAACAUACAAGUAAUUGCACAACACUACCCAAAUAUUCAACAUCCUAAUGCUUUCAUAUGAAACUGUUGCAAUGUCUACAUACAUGGUCCAGAAACUGCACUGAAAACAUUUUCAAAAUAUAUGUACUACAGUGAAAACUUUAAUUAAGCUUGUUGAUGUCAGGAGGAAAUAGUGCACAAACUAAGCUGCUGAUGCUGUAAAGAGAUUACAGAUGUCUCACAGGGGAUCUGCCAGAACACAUCACUACAGCAGCAGAUCCUAAAUGAGUCAGCUUUUAAACCUCCCUAACUGGCAUUAGAACCAGAACAUGCUCAAGCACGCAGAUGCAUGUACUCCAACCUACCUGCUACUUCUAUCUCUUGCUGCUCCCUUUCCCAAAAUCCAUUCCUGGGUUGCACCUCAAUGGAAGCAAUUUGCAUUUUAUUGCAUUUUGCACGUUUAUUGCGCUAGAACUGAUGCAGCUGCUCUGAGAGAUGCCUCCUUACUAAGGGGAAGCCUGUGUGCAGAGAUGACACUAAAACCUGCUUACCACUGCUAUCCCUGGAAUGAUCGAUUUUAAUAAGUAAUUUCUUUCCUAUCAAUUAUUGUCAGUUGUAAACCACACCUUGUCUAGGGAGGGUGUCAGGAAUUACUGAAACUGUUGUAAUACAAUUCUCCACCAUUCCAAAAGCUUAUGGUAUUAAAUUCUGCUCUAAUGCCAAACUUAAGGAUAUUUUCUCAAAAUGGUAAGCCACAAUGAAUUAAAUAUUAUUCAACAAUGGAUCCAUUUAAAAAAAAAACAACUGAUCAGAGAAAAAACCCAUCUAAUAGGUUAGUAUUAGUCACCUCUGUAGCUUUGCUACAUCUGUGAGGAGAAGCUUUUCGUGCAGCCUCUGAAGGGGAAGGUAACUACUACAACUGCUAAGUAUGCUUUGUGAACAAGAUGAAGUUUCAGUAUUACUCUUUUACCUUUCACCGAGGUAAUCGCCGAUUACCGUUUUAUUUAAUCCUUCUCCUUUGUAAAGGAACUGUGCAAUGUCUUCUGCAGUGUUCUGCAAGAGGUCAUUUUCUAUCAGAAACUGUAUUCCCUAGGAAAAGCAAUUUUAGAGAAAAAGGAAUAUUAUGUUUUCUUCCACAGUAUCCGUGUAAAUACUGCUUGUAACAUUUGGCACCAAUAUAGUGUCACAGACAUACACACAGCAUGUAAGAGUUAAAUUGGUCUAUAGCUGAUUUUAUUUACCUAUUUUACAUGAAAUAGUAAACAAAUGAAUUUUAUUCCCAGCCAGAUAAGCAGCAGUUUGUACUGGUUGGCAGAUAUAAAUGGGAACACAUUUUUAAGCCUAGAAGUACCAGGUGGCAGUUUGAAUUCCUUAAUUACAGAAAUAUCAAAUAUUGUCUUAACAGGUUAAUGUAAAUUGGCCUGCUCAGCACAUUGCAUAAAUGUCUGAAGAUAAUCUGUAAAAUCACAUAACAAAGAGGUAUGCAGGAAUAACUUAAUCACCACCAUGACAAAAAAAUAAAGCAUUUGCAAACUGCUCCCCAGUACAUCAAGCCACUACUUGCAGGAGAAGUUAUGGCUGAAGACACUGAAACCAGUUUAAAGAAUUUAUGCUGACACUGGGAAUUGGCUGACUGCAAAUGGUGCCUGAAUUGAAGUACUCACAAAGGGCUGUUCAUGAAACCACUCCAGCCUCCAUAGAGCUUCUACCAAAGCCAGGAGGAGCCUUACCUAAACUCAGUGCACACCUGAUCAACCCCUGGAUUCCUACACUUCUGUAAAUGACUGGCCUCAGAACUUGCCCACUCUGGGAUGCCCAGAGAGCUUUUUGCAAAGCAGGAAAUAAAGGAGUCUAUGGGUUAUUUGAAGCUUACAUAAAGGCUGGAAAUGAUGUUAUUCCAGCACUCUGCAGAUCAUGAACAGACAGCUCUUUAUGUAUAUGUAAAAUUUAUUUCAGGCUUCAAUACCUCAUUUUCUUUGUUAAAUCAGGUCAGAUUUUUUUCUUGUUGUUGUUAGGCAGAUAAUAAUUUAUUAUAAAAAACCAAAGUCUUAAAUGCAGCUCUCCCCUAACAAUUGCAUCAUCUGAAACUUAGUUUGAUCACAUGCUGGUAGUCUGACAACUCAGUACUUUUAUAAGUCAUUUCAGAACAGAUGUGAUUUCAUUGCAAAGAAAACAUCAUUUUUUAUCUUGAAGCAGUAAUAGCUGAGAUUUCCUCAAAACAGAUCAUCUCAAGUAUAUUUGAUAACAUAUGUGCAAAAAACUCACCUGACUAUAAAACAUACUGCUUAUUUUCUCCAUACCAAGUAAUACAAAAAGUUUCUCAGAUCUGCCAACCAAGAAAGAACCCUCUUUCCAACAAACAUGAGAAACUACAGCUGCAGGUUGCUUUGCUCAACACCCAGACUGCACUAUUCACGUGUAAUGCAAACAGACUGCCCAGAAGAGUUUGUACAAGUUGUACAGGUUACUGAAAAAUGGAAAUGACUGGAAAUGUGGAAAACAAAUGUCUCUGCAUAGAAACAGGUAUCUGAGCAUGCUGCAAAAAUCAGUGGGUUUGAGGGGUUUUUUUUGUUUGUUGGUUUUUUUUUUUGUAAUUCUUCAGAUCUUUAAAGAAGCAGAAAUCAGAUAGACAGAAAAGGAAUGUCUGGGACAACUCUCAUGUCUGGAAUACACUGUAAAAUAGGUCAGCCAAACACUCAUCAACUCCUCCGCUAUCUUUAGUCUCGAUGCAACUCCUCUUUAUGAAGGCUGAUUAAGACAGAAGACAGCUGUAUGAGUUUGACCUCCACACACAAAGUCACCAUCACACAACAAUGCGUUAUUCACUACAAGUGCUGUAUGGUUUUUAGGUUUGUUUGUUUUUUAGAAGCCUGUGCAAUUAAAUCUUUGAAUUUCAGGUUUUAGAGCAACUUACUGACAAAUUCUGCACUUCUUUAGAUCCUGCUUUUGUCACAGAGAGUCCAUUUCCUGGGCCCACCACAGACAGCAGUGACACCCACUGCUGGGAAUACAAAGCUCAGCUUCAGGUCCCCUGCACAGGGAUUUCUGAAGCCUUGUUUUAUUUUGCUGUGUUUGUUUGUUGGUUUUGUUUUUCCCAAACUUGACCAUUACAGCCCUUUACCUGAUGCAACCUAACUGCAAUCAACACAGCUAUUUUCAACAACGAUCUUCAGGUCAGGGGACAAUCACUUUACAUUUAGGUUAUCCCGUUAGAAAACGUAAAACUCUUCUAAUAAAAAUGGUUAAAGAAAUCA